CAAGGCUGCGAUCAGUAGCCGGUCUGAGAGGAUGAACGGCCACAUUGGGAAUGAGACCCGGCCCAGAAUCCUUCGGGAGGCAGCAGUGGGGAAUAUUUGGCAAUGGGGGAAAGCCUGACCCAGCAACGCCGCGUGAAGGAAUAAGGCCUUUGGGUUGUAAAAUUUUUUUAUUAGGGACGAAGGAUGUGACGGUACCUAAUGAGUAAGCCAGGGCUAAUUACGUGCCAGCAGCCGCGUUAAUAGGUAGGUGGCAAGCGUUUUCCGGAUUUAUUGGGUGUAAAGGGGGGGUAGGCGGGAAUCCAAUUCAGAUGUGAAAUCCAUGGGCUCAAUCCAUGAACUGCAUUUGAAACUUUGUUUCUUGAGUCAUGGAGAGGCGGGGGGAAUUCCUAGUGUAGCGGUGAAAUGGGUAGAUUUUAGGAGGAACACCAGGGGGGAAGGCGGCUUGCUGGACAUCAACUGACGUUGAUGCGGGAAAGCGCGGGGAGCAAACAGGAUUAGAUACCCUGGUAUUCCGCGCCGUAAACGAGGAAUAUUAGGUGUGGGGGGAUUGACCCCUUCCGUGCCGGAGCAAACGC
rnacentral:rRNA from 1 species